UAAAACUACAAAGCCCGUAUUAAAACAAACCGUACAGGAUUCGUGUAAUUUAGUCAAGUUCAUAGAAACAAUAAGUUGGGUAAACCCGCUGUAGGGUUUAGGGUUUAGUGGAUAAAGUUUUGAAAACUAUAUAACGGUUAGGCCUAAUCUCUUAAAAAAACUCUGUUCACCUUCAAUCUCAGAUACUCUCCUUCACCUAUUUAUGUAGCGAUCGAUGACUGUUUGUGUAUGUUUGCUUGCCAGCAAAAUUCGUUGGAAAUUUUCAAGAACACCAUCCUGCUAUUGCCCUCAGUGAACGGAAGUGGAAUUAUUGUAAUGUCCAUCCCUACGCUUCUUCCACAAAAAAAAUUUAAAGCUCCUACGAUGUUUCGGCGGGACUAAAACCCUUGAGUUGGGCAAAGUAAUUCACGCUCGUUCGAUUGUGUGUAAUCAGUGGUCUGGAGAUAAUAUACCCAAGACUAAUGCUUUGAUUGCUCUUUACUCAGCAGUGGGAUAUGCACACUGUGUUUUUUGAUCAAACAAAUAAAUGUAACAUAGAUUCAUGGAGUGCUCUAAUUUUCAAAAUGGGUCUGCUUUUGAAGUUGUUAGAUUGUUUAAAUCAAUGGUUUCAGAGUCGUGCUCGGCUAACAAUUAUAUAUCUUCAUUGGUGCUUAUGUCGUGUAUAAAGGUUGGGUACUUUUUGUUAGGGUCAUGGAUACAUGUUGAAAUCUGGAUCAGUGUUCCAUCAUUAUGUGACUUGUAUUGCAUGAUGUGGGACAUGGUAGGGGCUGUGGAGGUUUUAGUUUCUGUCCCUCAAGUGGAUAACUGUGCUUAUAAUCGGAUCAAGGUUGGACCUGGAGAGAAAGCUUACUUGGAUGAGGCAUUAUUAUCUUAAAGAGAAUGUUGGCUGAAGAUAUGGUGUGGAACAAAGCUGCUCAAGAGUGAAGUUGAGGUUGAUGUGUCUGUAUGCAAUGCAGUGAUCAAUAUGUAUGGGAAAGCUGGAGAUGUUAGAAAUGCUUUAAAUGUAUUUGGCAGGUCUAAAGUUCCAAACGUGGUUUCAUGGACACUAAUUAUGGCUGCUUUCUCAAAAUGAGGGUUCCCUGAAGCGUAGAUUACAUUGUUUUAUAAUAUGCAAAUUGACGGGGUUGUUCCAAACAAAUCUACCUUUUCUGUAAUACUCAAUGCUAGUGCUGAAUUAUUCUCUGUGAGAUUAGGAAAUGUAUUGCAUACACUAGCAGAGAAGACUGGAUUCAAGGGUCAUAAGAAUGUCGAGGAUGCCUUGAUCAUCAUGUACUUGAGGACUGGCCACUUUAAAGCUGCUGAAAAUGUGUUUUUAGGUAUGACUUAUCGUGAUAUUGGAACCUGGAAUAUAAUGAUAUGUGGGUACUGCCUUCAUGGUUUUGGUAGAAGUCGUUGACUUUGUUUAAUGAAAUGUUGAAAUUAGGGGAAGAUCCUAAUGAUGAUACUUUUGUUGGUGUUCUCAAUGCGUGUGGAGAUUUGAGGCUUGUGGAAGAAGGGUUAUACUAUUUUUAUGAGUUAAUGAACCAGAAGGGUCUCUAACCUGGUUUAGAGCACUAUAGGUGUAUCAUUAAUAUUCUAAUCAAGGGUGGAAGACUAGAAGAAGCUUUUGAUUUCAUGGUAUCAACACCACUCAAAUGGGAUGACAAGACUUGGAGUACCUUUCUCAGAGGAUGUCAUGCUCAUGGAGAGUAUCUUCUAUAUGUCCAAGCUGCAAAGUGGAUCCCUGAUGAUGUGCUGGUUAGUGAGUACGGUGUAUCCACGGACAUCCGUGAACCGAUAGAAAUGGAGAAUGAUUGAUCAGUAGAACCCUCAAGAAUAAAACAUAUACGGUUAAUUCGGUUGUCAAGGGAGAUCCAUGGUUUGUUGAGGGCCAUAAAAUCAUCAAGUCUUUGUUUGCUAGUAUUAAAGCAUAUGCUUACAUACCUGAUACUAGUGAUGUACUACAUGAUGAGGUUGAUCAUAUGAGGGGGAGGAGGAGGAGGACCAACUUGAAGGUAAAUCCAGAAUGAAAAAUACGCAUUAAUUUGAUUCCGAAAAUAAAUGGUUGCCUAAAAUGGAUAAAAUUUGAAAAGUUGGUUGCUAUUACAAGCAAUUUGCCCAAACAUAUAAUAAGAUUUCAUAGAGAGACUUGACAAGCAAAUACAAACCAUAUCAUUUUUACAACUGGAAAUGAAGCAUCAAUAUCACAAAAAUUUAAGCUGAUGCAGGUCAGGGGGUAUCAAAACCAAAUCACAUGUUCUUAGACAAAAACACCAAACCAAUCAAACCCCAUUCCUACCCCAAAGAAACCCAAAAAUAAAAAAGAACUUUUUUCCACCAAAAAAAAAAAA